rnacentral:rRNA from 1 species
UACGUAGGGGGCGAGCGUUGUCCGGAAUCAUUGGGCGUAAAGCGCGUGUAGGCGGCUCGAUAAGUCUGCUGUGAAAGUCCAGGGCUCAACCCUGGAAUGCCGGUGGAAACUGUUGAGCUUGAGUCCGGAAGAGGCGAGUGGAAUUCCUGGUGUAGCGGUGAAAUGCGCAGAUAUCAGGAGGAACACCAAUGGCGAAGGCGGCUCGCUGGACCGGUUCUGACGCUGAGGCGCGAAAGCGUGGGGAGCAAACGGG